UUACGGACAUAUCAGAUUGAAACACUGGUUCUCCUAAGAUCACCGAAGAUUAGCAACGUCGAGCCUGGUCGGUAAUUAGAUGGGUGACCGCUUGGGAAUAA